ensembl:snoRNA
GCUGAGGUCUAUCCCGAUGGGGUCUCCGUAGACCCACAUCAUUGAAAACGCCUCACAGAGGAAUGUUGUGGUUCUGCUUUACUCACAGAACUAUUUGUUAGAUCUGUGAGAAGGAACUACAAGACAGAU